AGCAGCGUGGCUCAGUGGAAAGAGCCCGGGCUUGGGAGUUGGGGUCGUGGGUUCGAAUCCCAGCUCUGCCA
rnacentral:tRNA from 1 species